AGCAGCCGCGGUAAUUCCAGCUCCAAUAGCGUAUAUUAAAGUUGUUGCAGUUAAAAAGCUCGUAGUUGAAUUUCGGGGUUAGUAGGUUGGUCGUGCCACUGGUAUGUACUGGCUUUACUGAUCCCUCCUUCUUGUAGAACCGUAAUGCCAUUAACUUGGUGUUGCGGGGACACAGGACUGUUACUUUGAAAAAAUUAGAGUGUUUAAAGCAGGCUAACGCUUGAAUACAUUAGCAUGGAAUAAUGAAAUAGGACGCUCGAUCCUAUUUUGUUGGUUUCUAGGAUUGACGUAAUGAUUAAUAGGGAUAGUUGGGGGCAUUAGUAUUCAAUUGUCAGAGGUGAAAUUCUUGGAUUUAUUGAAGACUAACUACUGCGAAAGCAUUUGUCCAAGGAUGUUUUCUAUUAAUCAAGAACGAAAGUUAAGGGGAUCGAGACGAUACAGAUAUCGUCGUAGUCUUAACCAUAAACUAUGCGACUAGGGAUCGGAUGAUGUUAAUUUUUUAAUGACUCAUCGCGCCGUUAAC
rnacentral:rRNA from 1 species